rnacentral:rRNA from 1 species
UACGUAGGGGGGCAAGCGUUGUCCGGAUUUAUUGGGCGUAAAGAGCGUGUAGGCGGCCAUGUAGGUCCGUUGUGAAAACUCGAGGCUCAACCUCGAGACGCCGAUGGAAACCAUGUGGCUAGAGUCCGGAAGAGGAGAGUGGAAUUCCUGGUGUAGCGGUGAAAUGCGCAGAUAUCAGGAAGAACACCCGUGGCUAAGGCGGCUCUCUAGUACGGUACUGACGCUGAGACGCGAAAGCGUGGGAGCAAACAGG